rnacentral:lncRNA from 1 species
ACUGAACAUUCUUGCUGCUUACAAUUAUCUCUAUCCAUAAUGAACUUGGCCCAGUAGUUUCAGUUGAAAAUGUUAGUAAAAAUUUACAAAUUUUAUGAAAAUUGUUAAAAAUUGACUAUAAAGGACAAUAACUCCUUAGGGGGGCAAUUGACCAUUUUGGUCAUGUUGACUUAAUUUUAGGUCUUACUUUGCUGUACAUUAUUGCUGUUUUCAGUUUAUCUCUAUCUAUAAUAAUAUUCAAG